UUUUACAAUGGAGAGUUUGAUCCUGGCUCAGGAUGAACGCUAGCUACAGGCUUAACACAUGCAAGUCGAGGGGAAACGAUAUUGGAAGCUUGCUUCCGAUAGGCGUCGACCGGCGCACGGGUGAGUAACGCGUAUCCAACCUGCCCACCACUUGGGGAUAACCUUGCGAAAGUAAGACUAAUACCCAAUGAUAUCUCUAGAAGACAUCUGAAAGAGAUUAAGGAUUUAUCGGUGAUGGAUGGGGAUGCGUCUGAUUAGCUUGUUGGCGGGGUAACGGCCCACCAAGGCGACGAUCAGUAGGGGUUCUGAGAGGAAGGUCCCCCACAUUGGAACUGAGACACGGUCCAAACUCCUACGGGAGGCAGCAGUGAGGAAUAUUGGUCAAUGGACGAGAGUCUGAACCAGCCAAGUAGCGUGCAGGAAGACGGCCCUAUGGGUUGUAAACUGCUUUUAUAAGGGAAUAAAGUGAGAGUCGUGACUCUUUUUGCAUGUACCUUAUGAAUAAGGACCGGCUAAUUCCGUGCCAGCAGCCGCGGUAAUACGGAAGGUCCGGGCGUUAUCCGGAUUUAUUGGGUUUAAAGGGAGCGUAGGCCGGAGAUUAAGCGUGUUGUGAAAUGUAGA
rnacentral:rRNA from 1 species